UUUCCGUAGGUGAACCUGCGGAAGGAUCAUUACUGAGUGAGGGCCCCUCGGGGUCCAACCUCCCACCCGUGUUUAACGAACCUUGUUGCUUCGGCGGGCCCGCCUCACGGCCGCCGGGGGGCGUCUGCCCCCGGGCCCGCGCCCGCCGAAGCCACCUGUGAACGCUGUCUGAAGUAUGCAGUCUGAGACAAUUAUUAAAUUAAUUAAAACUUUCAACAACGGAUCUCUUGGUUCCG
rnacentral:misc_RNA from 1 species